CUCCGCCGGCGCCCGGGAAGCGCAGUUCCGCGCGGAGGGCGGCGGGCGCCGUGUGGGCAUCCCCGGGCGGCGGGCCGGGUCGGUCCCCCGCGCCGAAGCCGGGCGCGGGCCGGGCCUUCGGAGGGCCGUUCUGCCUCCGCCCAGGCGGCGGGGCCGGGCAGGGGCCUGCGGAGGCCGAGCCCGGCGGGAGGCACCGGCUCAGGUGCGGGCGGCACCGCGGCGCUCCCAGGCGAGAUGCUGCCAGGGAUUGCUGGAGCGGAACUACCAAGCAGAAGCAGGCAUUGCACUGUCAUUUGUCAUCAGGUUUGCAAUCAGAUUGGAAAAGCUGAACUUGAAGCUUCCUGCCUGCAGUGAGGCCGAGAGAUACCUAUUGCUCACAUAAUAAAAGACAUGGGCUUCAACGUGACUUUCCACCUUUCCUACAAAUUCCGAUUACUGUUGCUUUUUACUUUAUGCCUGACGGUGGUUGGGUGGGCCACCAGUAACUACUUUGUGGGUGCUAUUCAAGAGAUUCCUAAAGCAAAGGAUCUCAUGGCUAGUUUGAACAAGGGUUUAGUUUUGGGGGAGAAAGGAACUGUGACAGAGGAAGCCUCUGUGAAAAAAGCAAACCUGAACAACUGCUCUUCUGUGUCUCCACACCUCAAAGGCCAGAACAAGCUCGUUUUCAAACCAGAUCUCACUCUGGAAGAAGUACAGGCAGAAAACCCCGAGGUGCACAGAGGCCGGUAUCACCCUGAGGAAUGCAGGGCUUUGCAGCGGGUCGCCAUCCUCAUCCCUCACCGGCACAGAGAGAAGCACCUGCUGUACCUGCUGGAACACCUUCACCCCUUCUUGCAGAGGCAGCAGCUGGAGUAUGGCAUCUAUGUCAUCCACCAGGCUGGAAGUAAAAAGUUUAAUCGCGCCAAACUCCUGAAUGUGGGCUAUCUAGAAGCUCUCAAGGAUGAAAUUUGGGACUGCUUCAUAUUCCAUGAUGUGGACCUGGUGCCCGAGAACGAUUUGAACCUUUACAAGUGUGAGGAUCAGCCCAGGCAUCUGGUGGUUGGCAGGAACAGCACUGGGUACAGGUUACGUUACAGUGGGUAUUUUGGGGGUGUUACUGCCCUAAGCCGAGAGCAGUUUUUCAAGGUGAAUGGAUUCUCUAACAACUACUGGGGAUGGGGAGGCGAAGACGAUGACCUCAGACUCAGGGUUGAGCUUCAUAGAAUGAAAAUAACCCGGCCACUGCCUGAAGUGGGUAAAUAUACUAUGAUCUUCCACAAGAGAGACCAAGGCAAUGAGGUGAAUGUAGAACGGAUGAAGCUCUUACAUCAGGUGUCACGUGUCUGGAGAACAGAUGGGUUGAGCAGUUGUGAUUAUAAAUUACUCUCUGUGGAUUACAAUCCUUUAUAUGUCAACAUCACAGUGGAUUUCUGGUCUGGCCCGUGACCCUGGCUCUUCUGGUGACAUUUGGAGGAACUGAAUAUUUGAUUGCAAUAAUUUUGGCCUAGAGACUUCCCCUAGUAGCACACAUUAAGAACUUGUUGCAGCCAAUUAUUGAGCUGAUUCUCCCUCUUUCGUAUUUUCUUAGCAGAACUCCUGGUGAUAUGGAAUGUAAAACAAUUGUUUUGAUCAUGAGGGUUAAAUAUUGUAAUGUAGAUACUUGAAGGACUAAGUAUAAAAGGACCACUCAGAAGAUACCAUGAAGGCUAUUUGAGAACUCUUGAUUGAAGAAGGUUUAUUUAAGUUUGAAGUGACACAUAUUUUCUGGGAUAAAAAAUGCCACAGGAGAUAAGAUUGCUGAAUGUCCCAGAGAACCAGGAUUGUUCUUGUCCGAGCAGGAAAGGGUUGAAGAUAUAUUUCUGUUACUCAUUUAUCCUGCAUGGUCAUCUGGGAAGAGGCAGCUCCCAGGUGAGAAGAAGGCCGAAGAAGAGGGGAGAAAGGUGAAGAAUGAAGAUGCCGCGAACUUGGGACUGAAGAGGUGGCAGAAGGACCGCAUCAGGUGGAGAGCAGCUGUGGUGGUUGUACUGUUGCUAUGGCUGCUGCCCUGCGGCAGGUGUCACCUGCCCAGGAUACUAGAAGAGCCACGGGGUGCGUGCGAGAGAGUGAAUCAUUCUUUAUUCAUCGAGUCAUUCAUCCAUGCAUGCCAUAAUCUGAUCUCGCAAAGCUACAAUGUGGAUGUGAAAAAGAGUCAUUCACCUCUUCAUUUGCCCACCCACCAAACAUUUAUCGAUGCCUGCUUUGUGCCAGGCAUUAUGCUAAGUACUGAAGAUACAGAAUUGAAGGAUGCAUGGUCCUCAAGGAGACUCAUAGAAAAAAUAGGCUUGCAAACAAAUAAUUAUAUUUCAAGGUAUCAGCUGCAAUAAUAGAAGUAAAGUAUAUGAGGUAUUGGGGUGGCAUACUUUGCUUUGUGGAAAAGGAUUGUUACAGGAGAAUUAGCAGGACCUGUAACUCGGAGAGAAUGGUGGCGUGUGGGAAUCUGGGAGACCAGGGUAGGGAGAAGCAGGAAGGAUGAGUAGAUAAGAGAUUAUGUCAGGGGUGACGAAUGAGUGAGACUGAGAAAGUAGGAGCACCGGGAGUCAGGGACAGAGAGAAAUUUCAAGAUGCAGGAAUUUGGUGUGGGAGUACUGCUCAGUGACAUGACUUUGUAGUUGUGGUAUAGCUAGUGGGUAGAGGAGGCGGUGAGGCCAAGGACU